rnacentral:lncRNA from 1 species
GUGGGCAUUGGUUGUUUUAAGCUUGUUUAUUCAGCCGAGGGACUAGUACUACGCGAAGCUGGGGGCGUGUUUAUUCAGCACUGGCACCUCUGAACCAUCGCGAUUCCGCGAGUGAAGGGAUGGACGGGGACUUCACGUCCGCCGCCGGCUGGGCAUCGCCGCCGCGCUUGCUGCUGUUUCCACCGACUGCUCACUUCGUGGGUGCAGAAU